ensembl:lncRNA
GGCACUUUAUUUUAGUCGAAUUUAACAAGAGAAACUGAAGUGAAAUUGGAAGAAUCACUAACUGCCACAUAAAAUUUCUUCACCAAAGGGGGUUGUUUCCUAAGAUUCCUUUAGGAUUAAAGAAAGUGUGAUUGCAGAGAAUAAAGAAAAAGGCUGGGCUUAUUUAUUUUUAUAACUUUAUGUAUCAACUUCAGACAAUGCUGGCGAAUUCCUUUCGCUGAAAGAUGAGAAUGUGACUAUUUCUUCCAUUUGACCCCCUCUGAUUUUUGUAGGUUAGGUGAUUAUUUUAAUAUUUUCCCGGUUUCUAACACAUACACGGUGCUCUGUAAUUAUGUGUUCUCUUAAUUAUUUAGUUUUAACUCUGUGUUUAAGUGGAUUCCACAUUCACUUGUCCGUCUCUUGUCAGAGAGUCCCUGGUCCUGACGGAUUUUGUUUGUUUUCAAAUCGUGAUUCAUCUCUCAGUUGGUAAGACUUCAUUGUAAAAUAUGUUUUUAAGAAGAUGCAUGAGACCAUAUGAAGAUGUCUGUCUGUUGCCUGGACAUUUGAAUGGCAUCUUGGCAGGCUACAGCCGUCUCAGGUUGACUGUCCUUCAGAACUCUGGAGACAGGACUCCAUUGUUUUAAGGCUGUGAUUGUUGUGAAGGAUUCUGAGGUCAGUCUGAUUGGUUUCUGUUGAGGCUGAUUUGUGUUUUUCUGGAUGCCUGGAGAUUUCUUUGUUUAUGCGUAAAGUUCAACAGCUUCUCCAGAGUUUGCCUUGGCACAGAGCCUUCAUAUCAAAAUCUGCAAGAACAUGGGGUGCUUUUAAUCUGCAAGUUCAACUCUGUGUGGGAAAUUUUUUUUGUAUCUAUCUUUGAGUACAUCUUCUGCUCUGCUCGUCAGUCCCCUACCCCAGGGACGCCGGUUAUUCUUAUGUUGGGUUAUCUUCAUCUCUGCCCCAAAUCUCUUCUCUGCUUGAAGAUUUGUGUCUUUCCCAUUUGCAUCACUGAGAUGACCUCCAGUCUUUCUUCUAUGUCAGCAUUUUGAUUUUCCGCUAUGUCUAGUCCUUUGAUUUUUAAAUUUAUGCUUUAAUUCUCUAAUUAUGAUGCUUUAGAGUUUGUGGAAAUGGGCAGGGAGAGAGGGGAAUGGAGUGAAAAGGAAGAGAACUCAGCUGCAGCAGCGUGCGGUCUGCUGGAGAAGCUUCCUUGCUCUCUCUCCCGAUGCAUCCUUGACGGUCGGAGCCAGGCCCCCCUCCCCCCAGCUGGCUGCGGGCUCUUGUACCUUCCCACAUGGCAUUACCCUCAGGGUUCAGACUGUUCUCCCAGUUCAUACAGUCCUAGAACCCUCGUAUCUGCUAGAGAAUCAGCUCUUUUUUUACCUUUCCCCCAUUCAGCCACCCUUCAAUCUCCCCAGACUGCCCCUUGACUCCUUGUAAAGUGUUCUAUUUACCUCUCAUGCUACUGGUCACAAAGAGGGGAAAAUAGCAAAAUCCAUUGACUCUCAUUGUUUUAAAUAGUCAUUUGAUCACCUGCCUUUUGAUGAGCACUUAUCAUCUUUGACUUGUCCUUCUCAUGCACUCGUUAAUCGUUUGUUGGUCACCUACUAUAAGCUGUGCUUUGGGGGAGACACUGAGAGUCCAAGGACAACUGGUAUAGUCUCUGCUCACAGAGGUUCUGGUUCAGUUCAUUACCAUCUCACAGUCAACAAGUCUUCUAAUGCUGUUAAUUACUCUCUCCUCCUCUCUACACCUGCCGUCCCUGCUCCCGGCCUCCAUUGUCUCUGACACUAGUCUAUUACAGCGACAGUCUCCUACGUAUUCUUUCUUCCUAAGACUUCCUUGCAACAAAUCUAGUCUGAAUAAUGUCUUUAGAUAAAUCUUUUCAAAAUCACUUUCUUCACGACUUUCCUCUGGCCAAGAACUUAUCAGUGACCCUUCCCUUCUAACCACACAGAGCUGAGCUCCCAAACACAGGUCUGCGUCCUGUGGCUCCAAGCUCUCCAGCUGCAGUGAAUACCGGGGAUCGGCUUGUUGCAGCGUUCCAGACCCUCUCUGGCAUUCCUUCCUAAACUGCACCGUGAAAGCUACACACCACGUUUUCCUGACUCUUGCACAGCUAGAGGUCCAGCUUUGAUUUCAGUUCCUCCUGUCGGACGCUCUCAGGGGAGAUUGUGAUUCACGACUGAGGGAUGUGAAAGAGAAACCCCGCACGAAGCAUCAGGUUUUGCUGGCAUGGAUUGCACAGGGGCAGUGGGUUCUGGUUUGGAAGCUGUGACUUCCUGGUUGGUAGGCAGCGUCUCAAUCUGGCAGCUUCCUGAUCAUGGCGGAGGCCUCGGCUCUCCCGGCAGUCCGGUUUUGCCCUGUGGUUAAGGGAAUCAUUCUUGGAGGCUCAGCUUAGAGACUGCUUGUUUAUCCUUUGCAUUCUCCGAGUAAUAUAUACUGCUAAGUCCUUCCUGCUUUAACUAGCUAGCACGGACGCUGGUUUCUGCAGUCAUUAACUCUGACCAGUAUACUACCCAACUUUAAUUAAUUCUCACUUUUCCCCAAACCUGUCAGGCUGAUCUCUCCGGCCCCAGAUGUACACCCUACUGAUCCCUGCCCGGCUGGCACCUCCACUCUCACUUUCCCCUGACCUGUAACUAUCUCCUCGGCGUCUCCAAGUCCAGCUCUAGGGCACCUGCGUCACCCCCGGAGCUUGCUCUGACCCCCGUGGUCCCCACUGGUCCUCUUCACCAGACGAGGAAGCACACACGGAGAGUCAGAGCAGCCUGCGCGUCUCAGCUUCUCCACGCCAACUUGUCGUCCCGAAGAAAUGAGUCUUGUUUCCUCCGCCAAGAAACGCGCAGGUUGGCCCCGCAUGAGCACUGUGUUCCCUUCCGAUCCUGAAGUUGUUCAGACUCUAAACCUCCAAGAAAAGCCACCUCGCAGAGCCACGCUGCUGUGGACCCAUCUUAGCUGCUUUUUGCUGCUCUGUCCAUGGAUGCAUUUGAAGGCGAAACCAGAUCCAGUGAGAGAUGAACGUGACUGAGAAGAGCAGGACACUGCAAACAUUUUCCAAGAGUGACAAAAAGAGCUGGGAGAGACGGGUGCGGUGAGAGAUGACAUGAGCCAGGUGCGUUUAACAGCACAACAAUAAAUAAUUACGCUGCCCUUUACAGAGCUGCGACGCGUGACCCUCCCAGUGAAGCCUCCCCGAGUUUCCUUCUGACGGCCCGCAGUCCAAGACUUCCCUGUCACACGUGUCACAACAGCUUUGUUUCUGCGUCUGCUUUUGUUUGCAGUUUGUACCCCAUGUGGUCAAAUUUCAUACUUCCAAAAUGAAAAAUAAAACUGCC